GCGGGUGUAGUUCAAUGGUAGAACACCAGCCUUCCAAGCUGGAUACCCGGGUUCGAUUCCCGGUACGUUCGAUUCCCGGUACCCGCUCCA
rnacentral:tRNA from 1 species